GCGCUGGUUUAGCUCAGUGGUUACUUCUCUCCUCAAAUCUUACUGCAAGAUUUCGCGGUCUCUAUCCCACCCCGGGAUCAAACCACGGGCGCUGUCCAGUGUUUUC
ensembl:vault_RNA Vault Vault RNA